GGAUUGGUGAUGCCUCAAAAAAUCAUGUCACGAAAAUCUGAACAAAAUGAGUGAAAAAUCCCAUGACUAUGGGUUAUCUAUAACUGAAGUUC
rfam:Dipodomys ordii contig_15041, whole genome shotgun sequence.